rnacentral:misc_RNA from 1 species
CGUCAUGAAAGUCGGUAACACCCGAAGCCAGUGGCCUAACCCUCGGGAGGGAGCUGUCGAAGGUGGGAUCGGCGAUUGGGACGAAGUCGUAACAAGGUAGCCGUACCGGAAGGUGCGGCUGGAUCACCUCCUUUCUAAGGAGCACCACGAAAAGCAUCCCAACAAGUGGGGUGCAAGCCGUGAGGGGUUCUCGUCUGUAGUGGACGAAAGCCGGGUGCACGACAACAAGCAAAGCCAGACACACUAUUGGGUCCUGAGGCAACACUCGGGCUCUGUUCGAGAGUUGUCCCACCAUCUUGG